GGCCCAGCCGGCUCGAGCUCUCCGGCUUCCCCUCCCCUCCCCACCCACGUCCUUCCGAGACCCGGGUCAACCCCGGCCCCGCCCCCACCCGAAGAUCACUUAUUAGGCGCCUGCCGGAGAGAUUUGAGGUAAUUUGUCAAACAUUUAUCAAGCCCGUGCUAUGUGCGUGAUUGUACCGGUCCUAGAGACAGAAGAACAAAGCAAACAGACCUGGCCUUCCAGGAGCAUACAUUCCAUUGACGGAAUACCACCUGAACAGAACUCGACCCCUGAUGGCUGCUGCUUGAUUUGGAUGUGCAUACCCCUGGCAGCCACGCGCUAAUGAAGCCACAUCUUAAAUUACGUCUGGAUCUCACUCGCUGAUUUCUCAGUACAACAGUACGAAGGAGAGAGUGUAAAUAAUGAGAGUAUCAGGAAAGGCUUCUGGAAGGAGGGGGCACCUGCCCUGUGAAGGGAGCUCAGGGUCUUGUAUAUUGCAGCAACUCUAUUACAUGGACUCAUCGUCUGAGUAGAGACUAAUCUUGGAGCACUGGGCCGCUGCCAAGUCAUCUUGAUUUACAUCCUGCCGCUAGACUUGGAUGACUCUGGAGGAGACAGUGACUGGUGACUUUGUUCUGCUCUGCCUCACUUAAAUCCAAUUCACUUGCAAGUCAAGACAUCACCCUUGUGAUAUCAUUAGUCCUCUUCGAGAAUGAAGGACGAACAGCAGUCUUGGAGCAAACUUCCAAAGCUUCUGAAAUUCUUGGGUUACCCAGUUUCUAAAUGCCAAAACUCUUUUUCUCUCCCACACAAAAAAAAAGUGGCAGGAGAAAAGGUGGGGAACAACGCUACGCCCCAGAAUCAAACCUUGAGUUAUUCUAGAUAAGGGAAUCAGUUUUGUGCCCGAGCAAGGCAAGAGGGCAAGGCUGGAACACUGUGGACAGGAUGGAGAGAUGUGGUUUGGGUGACGAUACGAUUAGUUGAAUCUGGAACUAGUCCAACCACCAGAAUCCAAGAGUAUUAAUUAAUGUCUUAUUGUCGGGCCUGAGAAGUCUCUUUAGUGGUACUCAGUAGGGCUCUGUCCUCAGCAUUGAUGUGUUAAUUUUCAAAAUCAAAAUAUAACAGGGAGAAACAAACCUUGACUCUAUGACAAUCAAAGCCACUUCAUAGAACUGACCUAGGCAAGAGCCUAGAUAAAUGGAGUCAAUAUCUCUUGGGGUUGGCCUUAGCUUGCUAGCUCUGACCCAUACUUCUAGGAGUUGUAAUUUUUCAUUUCUAAUGUUUCUGGUAGGAGAUUAGGUACAGGAGAGAAAAAUGAGAGUACAGGUGAACAGGGGAGCAUUUCGUGGGAAAAAUCUGAGGCAAGUGGAAGCUGGUGGCACAGGAAUUUCUACCAACCACUUGUAAGGACACCAUAAAGAAGGAAGCCUCUGAUAUAUAGAGGAGUUUGGGAACAGGAAAGAACUGACCAGUACUUGGUGGUAAGGGUCAUUAGAGAGAGUGCUGUGGAAGACCCCAAAAGAGUCUAAGAUGGUGGGACAGCAGCAUUUUUUGUGUUUGUAUUUGUGUCUCUUCCUAUUGGAUUAUUAGAAUUGUUAUUGGAAUUUUUAUUUUUUAUUUUCUUUUAUUAGUUUUUAUCAUGGGAGGUGGGGAGUCAGGGUCAUUGCUCUUAGUCAGGAGGUAAUUGAGCUGCCUGAAAGCUGUCCCAUGGGAUGUGAAAAUUUACUAAAGGCCUCAAACAUCCCUCAGAUAAAAACUCACAGAGAAAGCCAAGGCUUCCCAAGUAAUUUGACUUGAGGAAGAGAUUCUACUGAUGCUACUACCUUUGUAAGCAAGUAAAUCUCUCCCUCUCAGUCAGCUCAUUAUAAACUCUCUAAAUGUAGUUUAAUCUGUAACUGACUUAGUUUACCUAUACUGUCUGCUUAACUAGAUUUAUUAUCUUAGGGGAUGUAUGAAAUUAUGAUUCUUCUUAACUAAGUUUGUGUAACUCUUUUGACGUUGAGGGAAGCAUGAGAUUAUGAAUCAGUCCUUUAAAAAUUUCUAUAGCCUAGGGGCAGCUAAGUGGUACAGUGGAUAGAGCUCUGGCCUUG